CCCUUAGAUGUUCUGGGCUGCACGCGCGCUACACUGAAGCGUUCAACGAGUAUUCACCUUGCCCGGGAGGGUUGGGUAAUCUUUUUAAAACGCUUCGUGAUGGGGAUAGAUUAUUGCAAUUAUUAAUCUUCAACGAGGAAUUCCUAGUAAGCGCGAGUCAUCAGCUCGUGCUGAUUACGUCCCUGCCCUUUGUACACACCGCCCGUCGCUCCUACCGAUUGAAUGGUCCGGUGAAGCGUUCGGACCGUGGCCUUUGGACGGUUCGCCGUCUGUUGGCUGCGGGAAGUUCGUUAAACCUUAUCAUUUAGAGGAAGGAGAANUCGUAACA
rnacentral:rRNA from 1 species